CUAAAUAAGAGAAGGGAAGACAACUCAAACAAACCUUAGAAAUAGAAGUGUUUGAACACUCAAUUGGAGAAGAGGCAAAGAUGAAGGAUUCCAGCCCAUAUGUUUAAAUGGGUAGAUCCCAAUAAUUAUUCUGUGGACCAGAGAGAGGAUAGCUACUUCAGAAUACCAUUAAAUCCCAGCUCCUAUUUUAUCUGCUCUUCAAAGAAGCAGAUGGAGUGCGUUCAGACAGCUGGUGAGAGCAUAUAAUUCCAGCAAAAAGGUGGCAGAGGACCAUGCAAG
rnacentral:lncRNA from 1 species